rnacentral:rRNA from 1 species
AUUGAACGCUGGCGGCAGGCCUAACACAUGCAAGUCGAACGAGUGGCGGACGGGUGAGUAAUGUCUGGGAAACUGCCUGAUGCAGGGGGAUAACUAAUGGAAACGGUAGCUAAUACAGCAUACCAUCGGAUGUGCCCAGAUGGGAUUAGAUAGUAGGUGGGGUAACGGUUCACCUAGGCGACGAUCCCUAGCUGGUAUGAGAGGCUGACCAGCCACACUGGAACUGAGACACGGUCCAGACUCCUACGGGAGGCAGCAGUGGGGAAUAUUGCGCAAUGGGCGCAAGCCUGAUGCAGCCAUGCCGAGUGUAUGAAGAAGGCCUUCGGGUUGUAAAGUACUUUCAUCGGGGAGGCGUUACCCGCAGAGUAAGCACCGGCUAACUCCGUGCCAGCAGCCGCGGUAAUAC